rnacentral:rRNA from 1 species
GAUGAACGCUGGCGGCGUGCCUAAUACAUGCAAGUCGAGCGAACAGACGAGGAGCUUGCUCCUCUGACGUUAGCGGCGGACGGGUGAGUAACACAUGGAUAACCUACCUAUAAGACUGGGAUAACUUCGGGAAACCGGAGCUAAUACCGGAUAAUAUAUUGAACCGCAUGGUUCAAUAGUGAAAGACGGUUUUGCUGUCACUUAUAGAUGGAUCCGCGCCGCAUUAGCUAGUUGGUAAGGUAACGGCUUACCAAGGCAACGAUGCGUAGCCGACCUGAGAGGGUGAUCGGCCACACUGGAACUAAGACACGGUCCAGACUCCUACGGGAGGCAGCAGUAGGGAAUCUUCCGCAAUGGGCGAAAGCCUGACGGAGCAACGCCGCGUGAGUGAUGAAGGUCUUCGGAUCGUAAAACUCUGUUAUUAGGGAAGAACAAAUGUGUAAGUAACGAUGCACGUCUUGACGGUACCUAUCAGAAAGCCACGGCUAACUACGUG